rnacentral:rRNA from 1 species
GACGAGCCUCACGAACGUUAUUCGGAAUUACUGGGCUUAAAGGGUGCGUAGGCGGUCGGGUAAGUCUGACGUGAAAUCUUCAAGCUCAACUUGGAAACUGCGUCGGAUACUAUUCGGCUAGAGGAAUGGAGGGGAGACUGGAAUACUUGGUGUAGCAGUGAAAUGCGUAGAUAUCAAGUGGAACACCAGUGGCGAAGGCGAGUCUCUGGACAUUUCCUGACGCUGAGGCACGAAAGCCAGGGGAGCAAACGGG